UUCAAAAAAAAAAUAAACAGAGAGGAGCUCUCUCUCUCCCUCAUUCUCUCGGGCCUUGGCACCGGUCAUCGGCUGAUUAAGGUCUCUGGCGCUCCUCCACCUUAGUACCGCCGCGUGCGGUUGCCGGCGACUCAAAAUCGGAUCUUUUUUAUCCUUUUUUGAAGCCGGGCUUCUCUUAGGCACAAAUCCAAGGCCAAACCCCGAAAAAAGGAGCCCGAAGCCUGAAGAACGAGGGAAGACCGCUCAUCUUCUCCUCCCAGACACGGCGCAGGUAAGGUCCCUUUCUCUAUUUUUAUUAUGUAAAAAAACCAUACAAACGAAGAGAAAAAAAAACGAAAAUAGAGAAAAAAAACUAAACAGAAAUGAGAGAAAAUCACCUCUCAAAUAUUCUUGUUUUUAUUUCUUUUUUGUUAAUGUCUGUUUCUUUUUGUUACAAAAGUUCUUUUUUUUUUCAAAUUUCUUUUGUUGGCUUUUUAUAACUGAUUGUGUCAUCAUUUUCAUUGCUAUGAUUGUCCCUUCUUUCCUCUUUGCAGGCGUUUGAAGCAGGCGACAGUAGGUGCGGCGUAGCAGUUGGUGGCUUGCGGCGCUGGUCAGAGGCAGGGUGGGUAGCUGGCGGCAGCUAGGGUUUCAAAAAACUGAAACCCUAGUUUGGCUAUUGUCUUUUGGGCCUGUUAGGCUAUUUUUUAAUUUGGGCCUGUUUGGGUUUCGGGUUUGGGUGCAAAUUUGGUUUUGUUUAGGGUCUGUUUUUGGGUUGGGGUGUUUAUGGGUUAUGUUGUAUUGGGUUUUAGGUCUAUUGGAAAUGGGCCGGGGUUUUUAGAUUAAGUGGGUUUGGUACUGAAAUUUUGGGUAGUGGGCCCGGGCAAUAAAUUGGGCUGUACAACGAUCCGAUCACGUUAUAUCGCUUCGCAUGCAAAAGCCAUUGAAGAUAAUAUACGAAGAUAUCAAUGAAAUUGAUGAUUAUUUUGUUCGAAAAAU
rnacentral:lncRNA from 1 species